CACAGCCAUGCAAUCUCCAUUGACAAAAAUUGGCAGUAGAAUGGCUUUACUGAAGAGCUCAGUGACUUUCAACGUGGCACCGUAAUGGUAUGCCACCUUCCCUACAAGUCAGUUUUUCACAUUUCUGUGCUGGUAGAGCUGCCCCGGUCAACUGUAAGUGCUGAUGGAAACGUCUAGGAGCAACAAUGUCUCAGCUGUGAAGUGGUGUAACGGCCGUUGUCGGUGGAAGAAGAUGAGGACCAAGGUGCAACGUGAUAUGUAGGUGACAUUUCCACCUGGAUGACAGCACAUAAAUCAGCAAGAAGGAGAUGUUCUUCAAUCCGAGGGAAUGCCUGCCCAUUCUCAAAUGUUAGAUAAUCCGAGAUGAUCACAUGUCAUUUACAUUCCGGCCCUAACCUGAACUUUCUGCUUCUUCCUCCACAACACCUGGCGAUGUCGCCAAGAUACUAAGUCAGAGCCUUGUCAGCUCCAGUUUUGACUACUUCAACUCACACCCUGCUGGAAUCCCUGCAUUCUCAGAUUCCCCUCUGUUAUUAAUCUCUAUAUUGUAAUCAAUAAAGUGUUUCAAAAUGCUGUACGUUUAUUAACAUAUAUGUUCAGAUCAUUCCUGAGAGAGAAGGGGUGUAAUAUCUCCAGAUGGACAUGUGGUACCCUUCCUCACCCAUGCCAACAAGAUGUUACUUCUUGUGGGGUCUUUGCCUUGAAAGUAAGUAUAAGUAAUAUACAAUUAACCUACUGAAAGUAUACUGACUAAAAGGCUAAAUGAAAUUGUCAAACUAUAUUAUUGUCACGCCCUGAUCUUAGAGAUCCUCAUUUAUUCUCUGUUUGGUUAGGUCAGGGUGUGACUCGGGUGGGAAAGUCUAUGUUUU